rnacentral:tRNA from 1 species
GUAUAGUUCGGUCUAACCUUUAAUCCCGGCACAAUACCGCGCUCGAAAUGCGGCGUGGGGGUAACUCCACCGUGGGUUCGAAUCCCACCCUCCCCGCCA